rnacentral:rRNA from 1 species
CGGGAGGCAGCAGUGGGGAAUAUUGCACAAUGGGCGAAAGCCUGAUGCAGCGACGCCGCGUGAGGGAUGACGGCCUUCGGGUUGUAAACCUCUUUCAGCAGGGACGAAGCGCAAGUGACGGUACCUGCAGAAGAAGCACCGGCUAACUACGUGCCAGCAGCCGCGGUAAUACGUAGGGUGCAAGCGUUGUCCGGAAUUACUGGGCGUAAAGAGUUCGUAGGCGGUUUGUCGCGUCGUUUGUGAAAACCAGCAGCUCAACUGCUGGCUUGCAGGCGAUACGGGCAGACUUGAGUACUGCAGGGGAGACUGGAAUUCCUGGUGUAGCGGUGAAAUGCGCAGAUAUCAGGAGGAACACCGGUGGCGAAGGCGGGUCUCUGGGCAGUAACUGACGCUGAGGAACGAAAGCGUGGGUAGCGAACAGGAUUAGAUACCCGAGU